rnacentral:rRNA from 1 species
AUUGAACGCUGGCGGCAGGCCUAACACAUGCAAGUCGAGCGGAUGAAGGGAGCUUGCUCCUGGAUUCAGCGGCGGACGGGCGAGUAAUGCCUAGGAAUCUGCCUGGUAGUGGGGGAUAACGUCCGGAAACGGGCGCUAAUACCGCAUACGUCCUGAGGGAGAAAGUGGGGGAGCUUCGGACCUCCCGCUAUCAGAUGAGCCAAGGUCGGAUUAGCUAGUUGGUGGGGUAAAGGCCUACCAAGGCGACGAUCCGUAACUGGUCUGAGAGGAUGAUCAGUCACACUGGAACUGAGACACGGUCCAGACUCCUACGGGAGGCAGCAGUGGGGAAUAUUGGACAAUGGGCGAAAGCCUGAUCCAGCCAUGCCGCGUGUGUGAAGAAGGUCUUCGGAUUGUAAAGCACUUUAAGUUGGGAGGAAGGGCAGUAAGUUAAUACCUUGCUGUUUUGACGUUACCAACAGAAUAAGCACCGGCUAACUUCGUG